rnacentral:misc_RNA from 1 species
GAUGAAGAACGUAGCGAAAUGCGAUAAGUAGUGUGAAUUGCAGAAUUCAGUUAAUCAUCGAAUCUUUGAACGCACAUUGCGCCCCUUGGUAUUCCAUGGGGCAUGCCUGUUCGAGCGUCAUUUGUACCUUCAAGCUUUGCUUGGUGUUGGGUGUUUGUCUCGCCUUUGCGUGUAGACUCGCCUUAAAAUAAUUGGCAGCCGGCGUAUUGAUUUCGGAGCGCAGUACAUCUCGCGCUUUGCACUCAUAACGACAGCGUCCAAAAGUACAUUUUACACUCUUGACCUCGGAUCAGGUAGGGAUACCCGCUGAACUUAAGCAUAUCAAUAAGCGGAGGA